CCUACGGGAGGCAGCAGUGGGGAAUAUUGCACAAUGGGCGCAAGCGGUGAUACAGUGCUGCCGCGUGUGUGAAGAAGGCCCUAGGGUUGUAAAGCACUUUCAGCAGUGAGGAAAGGUGUGUGGUUAAUACCCGCAUACUGUGACGUUAACUGCAGAAGAAGCACCGGCUAACUCCGUGCCAGCAGCCGCGGUAAU
rnacentral:rRNA from 1 species